UUCGGCAGCCCAGAGGAAGUUUGCUCAUUCGCUCAGAGACUUCAAAUUUGAGUUCAUCGGGGAUGCCGAGACAGAUGACGAGCGCUGCAUAGAUGCCUCCUUACGUGAAUUUUCAAAUUUUCUGAAGAAUCUAGAGGAACAGAGAGAAAUUAUGGCAUUAAGUGUAACUGAAACCCUGAUUAAACCGUUGGAAAA